rnacentral:tRNA from 1 species
CCUCCUUUCUAAGGAUGAAUGAAAGUAAAAUUUCAUUCUAAAUAAUAUACAUCGGUAAUGUUGACCGUCCUCAUUUCUCUUCUUAAAGUAAUGUUUCCUUCUUGUAGGGCCGGUAACUCAGUUGGUUAGAGCACACCCUUGAUAAGGGUGGGGUCGAAAGUUCGAGUCUUUCUCGGCCCACCAAACUUAACUGGGGGAUUAGCUCAGCUGGGAGAGCGCCUGAUUUGCAUUCAGGAGGUCAGCGGUUCGAUCCCGCUAUCCUCCACCAGGAAACAUUUAGUUAUUAGAACUGUAAAUAAAAAUAAUUUAUAUCAAUAUCUAUAUCCGAACAUUAAAAGUUAUUAUUUAGUGUUCAAAAUAAAAAUUUGAUCACAACACAUAUNAAUUUUCUUUUANAAAGAAUUUUUUCUGUGCAUA